rnacentral:rRNA from 1 species
AUUGAACGCUGGCGGCAGGCCUAACACAUGCAAGUCGAGCGGAUGAAGGGAGCUUGCUCCUGGAUUCAGCGGCGGACGGGUGAGUAAUGCCUAGGAAUCUGCCUGGUAGUGGGGGAUAACGUCCGGAAACGGGCGCUAAUACCGCAUACGUCCUGAGGGAGAAAGUGGGGGAUCUUCGGACCUCACGCUAUCAGAUGAGCCUAGGUCGGAUUAGCUAGUUGGUGGGGUAAAGGCCUACCAAGGCGACGAUCCGUAACUGGUCUGAGAGGAUGAUCAGUCACGCUGUGACUUAAACACGGUCCAGACACCAACGGGAGGCAGCAGUGGGGAAUAUUGGACAAUGGGCGAAAGCCUGAUCCAGCCAUGCCGCGUGUGUGAAGAAGGUCUUCUGACUGUAAAGCACUUUAAGUUGGGAGGAAGGUCAGUAAGUUAAUACCUUGCUGUUUUGACGUUACCAACAGAAUAAGCACCGGCUAACUUCGUG